rnacentral:rRNA from 1 species
GAUGAACGCUGGCGGCGUGCCUAAUACAUGCAAGUCGAGCGGACGGACGAUAAGAUCUUGCCUCUACUGUUGGCGGCUGGCGGAUGAGUAACACAUAGAUCACCUUCCUCUAUUUCUUGGAUAACUUCGUGAGGCCAUUGCCACUACCAGCUCAUAUUUUGUACGGCAUGAAUCAGGAGAUCUUCGCAGCCUUCCCGACACUUUUAGCUGAUUCCGCGUUGGAUUAGCUAGUUGGUAAGGUAACGGCAUACCAAGGCAACGAUGCAUAGCUGAUCUGAGAGGAUGAUCAGCCACACUGGAACUGAGACACGGUCCAGACUCCUACGGGAGGCAGCAGUAGGGAAUAUUGGGCAAUGGGCGAAAGCCUGACGGAGCAACGCCGCGUGAGUGAUGAAGGUCUUCGGAUCGUAAAGCUCUGUUAUUAGGAAAGAAAAGAUGUGUAUGUAACCGUGGAUAUCUUGACGGUACCCAAUCAGAAAGCACCGGCUAACUUCGUG